AUAAGGUAUACAGGUGUUAGAUGGGGUGGGAUAAAGUAUACAGGUGUUAGAUGGGCUGGGAUAAGGGGUAUACAGGUAUUAGGUGUUUGGUAGGUGGGAUAAAGUAUACAGUGUUUGGUGGAGUUGGGAUAAGGUAUACAGGUGUUUGGUGGAGCUGGGAUGAAGUAUACAGGUGUUUGGUGGGUUGGGAUGAAGUAUACAGAUUUUGGUGGGGCUGGGAUGAAGUAUACAGGUUUUGGUGGGGCUGGGAUGAAGUAUACAGGUUUUGGUGGGGCUGGGGUGAAGUAUACAGGUUUUGGUGGGGCUGGGGUGAAGUAUACAGGUUUUGGUGGGGCUGGGUUGAAG